CUUGUUCUCUGUAGCUUUCAAUCCUUUAUACAUAGUGUUCCUUUUUUUUAAAUACUGUCUUCCCCUUGUUCAUCUUCCACCUAACUGUUCUUACUAAUCCUUCGUGAUUAGCUUAGAUAUCAAUUUCUCCAGGAAAUUGUCCCCACUGAUCCCCAAGCCUGGGUUAGGUUCCCGGGAGUCCUGUGUGCCUUCUGUAACACCUUGUGUUUUCCUAUCAUAGCUCUCAGCAGCCUGUUUACUUGUCUGAACAUUACUUGAGAGGAAGAAUUUUUGGCUGUUUUAUUCACUAUUGUCUCCCCAGCUCCUAACAAAGAACCUGGCACACAGCUCAAUACAUGGUAGCUAUUAUUAUUAUCAGCACCUUCAUCUAUCAUAAUUCUCAAAUGUCUGGUUGUUGCAUAAAUAACUCUUAAGUAUGCCAAGAAGCUUAGAGUUAAGUUACAAGACUGACAAGGGCAUGCAUUGUUUCAGAGCCAUGUUUGGGACCUUUGUUUUUCACUUAUUCAAUCAUUUUCCCUUUUUAUACUAGGAACUGACCCAGGAGUGUGAUGAAAAGAAAUCCCAGUAUGAUAGCUGUGCAGCAGGCCUCGAAAGCAAUCGGUCCAAAUUAGAACAGGUAAGAAGAGAGUUUUUAUUUUAACAAUUUAGCAAAAACUACCUGUGUGUACACCUGUAGUCCCAGCUACUCUGGAGGCUGAAGCAGGAGGAUUGCUUGAGCCUAGGAGUUUGAGGCUACAGUGAGCUAUGAUCACACCACUGCAUUCUAGCCUGGGCCACAGAGCAAGACUCUCUCUCUAAAAAAAAUGUUUUAAAUACUGCCCGUGUACGCACAUUUUCACUACAUCAAUGUCAAAAGAUUCCCAAAUCUUUAUCAUCAUCUCCUAAGCUCCAGAGAUCUUUAUUUCUUUAAUUUGUACACACUUAAUUUCCCAUCUGUACCACUCCCAGCAAAGUACAAGGCUCAUUAUCUGCUGCCUGGCCUCCCACAGUAAACUCUUACCUAUUCUCUUGCUUCUACUCUUGCUCUCCUAAGGUUUAUUCUUCAUAGGGAAGCCUAAGAAACCUGUUUAAAAUUUUUGCCACCCUUCAUUGGCUUCCUGUUGCACUUAAAAUAAAAUCUAACCACCAAACUAUGGUCUACAAGGCCCCACCUGCCUUAUGAACUUCAUGUCCAUGUGCUCUACUCCUCAUCCAUGGAGCUUCAGCCACUCUGACCUUCUUCCUGAGCUUUAAACAGGCCAAGCUUGUUUUCACUUUGGGAUUUUGCAUGUACUCUUCCCUUCUGCGUGAUAUACUCUGCUCCUAACUCUUCGCCCUCCCUUCUCCUUUUCAUCACUAGGUCUCAGCCUUAGUGUCACUGCCUUUCAGAGAUCUCUGAUCACCUGAUGUUACCCACUCUUCUUCCCAACCUGGCCCACCCAGUCCCUCUAUCACAUUCUACUGAUGGAUUUCCUUCAUAGCGCUUAUCCCCAUCUCAAAUAUCCUUCAUUAUGUUUCCUUGUUUAUGUUGGUUUCUUCUACUUCAGUGAAAGCAGGGAACCUGCCUGUUCACUUCUGUGUCCUCAGCACUUAGAACAGUGCUGGACACACAGUAGGUACUUAAUAAAUGUAUGAUUGGGCCAGAUGCAGUCGCUCAUGCCUGUAAUCCCAGCACUUUGGGAGUCCAGGGCGGGAGGAUCACUUGAGGCUAGGAGUUCGAGAUCAGCCUGGCCAACCCGGUGAAACCCUGUCUCUACUAAAAAUACAAAAAUUAGCCAGGCGUGGUGGCACGUGCCUGUAGUCUCAGCUCCUCAGGAGGCUGAGGCACGAGAAUCUCUUGAACCUGCGAGGAGGAGGUUGCAGUGAGCCAAGACUGCACCACUGCACUCCAUCCUGAGUGACAGAGUGAGACUCUGUCUCAAAAAAUACAAUUGAACUUGCAGGUUAUAGAGUGAUAUGUGUAUUCUCUAGAAAAAGAUUAUCUCUUAUUGUGCUAGAAUAAACAAAGUUAAAAUUGCAGAAGAGGAAAUGACUCUGAUGGUAGUCCUUUGUUGUACAUCUAAAGUCAUCGUCGCCAUAUCUGUCUCAUUCUUUCGAUAAUGUCACCUAUCUAAAAUUAUAUAUUAUAGGAAGUUAGAAGACUCCGUGAAGAAUGUCUUCAAGAAGAAAGUAGAUACCAUUAUACAAAUUGUAUGAUUAAGAACCUAGAAGUUCAACUUCGUCGUGCUACUGAUGAGAUGAAGGCAUAUAUCUCUUCUGAUCAACAAGAAAAAAGAAAGGCAAUUAGGGAACAGUAUACCAAAAAUACUGCUGAACAAGAAAACCUUGGAAAGAAACUUCGGGAAAAACAAAAAGUUAUACGAGAAAGUCAUGGUCCAAAUAUGAAACAAGCAAAAAUGUGGCGUGAUUUGGAACAAUUAAUGGAAUGUAAGAAACAGUGCUUUCUGAAACAACAAAGCCAAACUUCCAUUGGUCAGGUAAUUCAGGAGGGUGGGGAGGACCGGCUAAUACUGUGAAUUCUUGUGUCAUCGUUUGGGGUUUUACUUGAUACCACUAGCUAUAAGCCUAAUCUCAUAAUGUAUUUCUUUUUUGAAACUGAUUUGUAUAGCAUUUUGUUUUCAGAAGAGCCAUUCUUUAUUAAGUUUUCAUAGAAAAUAAUGUUAAGGUAGAUUUAGUUUGAAUGUUUUUUCAUAUGAAAAAGAGGCUUUUAUUCUUUUCCAUAGUUUAGACAUCACUGGCGUCUUCUGAGUUUUAUGAGACAGGAAACUAAGUUUACUAUCUGUAAAUGUAAACAUAUGUCCAUUAAGAAACAUGUAGUUUUUUUUUAGAAUGUAAUAACCCAGUGGCUUA
rnacentral:lncRNA from 10 species